UUUUUAUGGGAACAGGUACGUAUUAUCUCGUAUGUGGUAACAGGGACGUGGAGAACUUUUUUAGAUUAGACUCCUUUUGAUAACGUGGGGUUCUUUUUUGUAGGGGCAAUGUAGGUGUUGAGUAUUUUUUUUCCAUAACAAAGGAAGGCAAGUGGAUUUUGUGUUAGCUGAAAGAUAACAUGGUUGUUGAGGACUCUUCGAUGUACGUGGUGGUUUAAUCAGUUUUUUGUACGUGCUAUUUUUUCUAUUAAAUAUCUUAUAUGGUCCUCUAAUAAAUCUUGACUAUUAAAUAUUGUACAUAUCUCUUUUCCAUCAUAAAGGGAGAUGGCACGUGGAUUUGUAUAGCUUGAAAACUAAUAAAAACUUGCAAGCAAAGAAAGUGAAUGUGCGUGUUUUUAUAAUAUAUCUUGACCAUUAUUUUUUUUAUCUAAUGGCUACGUUAAUCCUGCUGAUGUGGAUUAACGUGAUGACUCGAAUGGUGCCUCCAAUUAGUAAAUAUAAUAUGUUUUAGAUACCUUUCAAGUUUGUGUCUGAUGACCCACAAGUAUAGGGGAUCUAUCGUAGUCCUUUCGAUAAGUACGAGUGUCGAACCCAACGAGGAGCAGAAGGAAAUGACAAGAUGUUUUCAGUAACGUAUUCUCUGCAAGUACUGAAAUUAUCGGUAACAGAUAGUUUUGUGAUAAGGUAAUUUGUAACGGGUAACAAGUAACAAAAGUAAACAAGGUGCAGCAAGGUGUCCCAAUCCUUUUUGUAGCAAAGGAAAAGCCUGGACAAACUCUUAUAUAAAGGAAAACGCUCCCGAGGACACAUGGGAAUUAUCGUCAAGCUAGUUUUCAUCAUGCUCAUAUGAUUCGCGUUCGUUACUUUGAUAAUUUGAUAUGUGGGUGGACCGGUGCUUGGGUACUGCCCUUCCUUGGACAAGCAUCCCACUUAUGAUUAACCCCUCUUGCAAGCAUUCGCAACUACAACAGAAGUAUUAAGGUAAACCUAACCAUAGCAUGAAACAUGUGGAUCCAAAUCAGCUCCUUACGAAGCAACGCAUAAACUAGGGUUUAAGCUUCUGUCACUCUAGCAACCCAUCAUCUACUCAUUACUUCCCAAUGCCUUCCUCUAGGUCCAAACAAUGGUGAAGUGUCAUGUAGUCGACGUUCACAUAACACCACUAGAGGAAAGACAACAUACAUCUCAUCAAAAUAUCAAACGAAUACCAAAUUCACAUGACUACUUAUAGCAAGACUUCUCCCAUGUCCUCAGGAACAACCAUAACUACUCACUAAUCAUAUUCAUGUUCAUAAUCAGAGGGGUAUUAAUAUGCAUAAAGGAUCUGAACAUAUGAUCUUCCACCAAAUAAACCAACUACCAUCAACUACAAGGAGUAAUCAACACUACUAGCAACCCACAGGUACAAAUCUGAGGUUUUGAGACAAAGAUUGGAUACAAGAGAUGAACUAGGGUUUGAGAUGAGAUGGUGCUGGUGAAGAUGUUGAUGGAUAUUGACCCCCUCCCGAUGAGAGGAUCGAUAGUGAUCCCGAUGGUGAUGAUUUCCCCUUCCGGAGGGAUGUUUCCCCGGCAGAACAGCUCUGCCGGAGCCCUAGAUUGGUUUCGCCAGGUUCCGCCUCGAGACGGCGGCGCUUCGUCCUGAAAGCUUCCUUCUAAUUUUUUCCAGGGCAAAAGACUUCACAUAGCAAAAGAUGGGCACCGGAGGCCUGCCAGGGGGCCCACGAGGCAGGGGGCGCCCCGGGGGGUAGGGCGCGCCCCCAACCCUCAUGGACAGGGUGUGGCCCCCCUCUGGUGCUUUCUUCGCCCAAUAUUCUUAAUAUAUUCCAAAAAAGACUUUCGUGGAGUUUCGGGACUUUUGGAGUUAUGCAGAAUAGGUCUCUAAUAUUUGCUCCUUUUCGAGCCCAGAAUUCCACUUGCCGGCAUUCUCCCUCUUCGCGUAGACCUUGUAAAAUAAGAGAGAAUAGGCAUAAGUAUUGUGACAUAAUGUCUAAUAACAACCCAUAAUGCAAUAGAUAUUGAUGUAAAAGCAUGAUGCAAAAUAGACGUAUCAACUCCCCCAAGCUUCGACCUCGCUUGUCCUCAAGCGGAAGCCGAUAAGGAAAAAUAUGUCCACAUGUUUAGAGAUAGAGGUGUCGAUAAAAUAAAAUACGGACAUGAGGGCAUCCUGAUCAUUCUUGUAACAACAAUAUAUAUAUAUAUAUAUAUAUAUAUAUAUAUAUAUAUAUAUAUAUAUAGUCAUAUGAUUUCUUAUGCUAAAGUAACAAUCUAUUCACAAUGUAAAGUAUGAAUCAGAAACUUCAUUGAAAACUAACAAACUACAAUCUCAGUCAUUAAAGAAAUUGCAAUUUAUCAUAACAUCUGAAAGAGUCAAUAUAAGAGCUUUUCAGCAGGUCCACAUACUCAACUAUCAUUUAGUAUUUCACAAUUGCUAACACUCAUGCAAUACUUAUGGGUAUGGAGUUUUAAUCGGACACAGAGAAAGAUAGGGACUUACAGUGUUGCCUCCCAACCUUUUACCUCAAGGGUAAUGUCAACAAUAGAAGUUUAUGAUAACUUACAUCCAAUUUGAUAUAUAUAUCAGGAUCUUUCCAACACAAUGUGCUUGCCAAAGAAUAAAGUGUAAAAAGGAAAGGUGAAGAUCACCGCGACUCUUGCAUAAGGUAUAAGUCAAAAAUAAAAGACAGGCAUUUCGUAGAGGGAAGCAGAGGUUGUCAUGUGCUUUUAUGGUUGGAUGCACAAAAUCUUAACACGAAAGAACGUCACUUUAUAUUGCCACUUGUGAUAGGGACCUUUAUUAUGCAGUCCGUCGCUUUUAUUUCUUCCAUAUCACAAGAUCGUAUAAAGCUUAUUUUCUCCACACUAAUCGAUCAAACAUAUUUAGAGAGCAAUUUUUAUUGCAUGCAACAAUGACAACUUACUUGAAGGAUCUUACUCAAUCCAUAGGUAGGUAUGGUGGACACUCAUGGCAAAACUGGGUUUAAGGAUAUUCGGAAGCACAAGUAGUAUCUCAAAUUGGUGCAAAGAAUUUGGCUAGCAUGAGGGGGAAAGUCAAGCUCAACGUGUUGGAUGACUACAUUAAUUUUUUAAUCUAAUGGCUACAUUAAUGACCACUAAUUUUUAAUUUGAUGGCUACAUUAAUCCUGCUGAUGUGGAUUAACGUGAUGACUUGAAUGGUGCCUCCAAUUAGUAAAUAUAAUAUGUUUUAGAUACCUUUCAAGUUUGUGUCUGAUGACCCACAAGUAUAGGGGAUCUAUCGUAGUCCUUUCGAUAAGUACGAGUGUCGAACCCAACGAGGAGCAGAAGGAAAUGACAAGCGGUUUUCAGUAACGUAUUCUCUGCAAGUACUGAAAUUAUCGGUAACAGAUAGUUUUGUGAUAAGGUAAUUUGUAACGGGUAACAAGUAACAAAAGUAAACAAGGUGCAGCAAGG
rnacentral:lncRNA from 1 species